AAAUUGAAGAGUUUGAUCAUGGCUCAGAUUGAACGCUGGCGGCAGGCCUAACACAUGCAAGUCGAACGGUAACAGGAAGAAGCUUGCUUCUUUGCUGACGAGUGGCGGACGGGUGAGUAAUGUCUGGGAAACUACCUGAUGGAGGGGGAUAACUACUGGAAACGGUAGCUAAUACCGCAUAACGUCGCAAGACCAAAGAGGGGGACCUUCGGGCCUCUUGCCAUCGGAUGUGCCCAGAUGGGAUUAGCUAGUAGGUGGGGUAACGGCUCACCUAGGCGACGAUCCCUAGCUGGUCUGAGAGGAUGACCAGCCACACUGGAACUGAGACACGGUCCAGACUCCUACGGGAGGCAGCAGUGGGGAAUAUUGCACAAUGGGCGCAAGCCUGAUGCAGCCAUGCCGCGUGUAUGAAGAAGGCCUUCGGGUUGUAAAGUACUUUCAGCGGGGAGGAAGGGAGUAAAGUUAAUACCUUUGCU
rnacentral:rRNA from 1 species